rnacentral:snRNA from 1 species
UCACUUUGACAGCAUAUCUGCUAAAAUUAGAACAAUAUAGAGAUUAGCAUGGCCCCUGUACAAAGUAUACAAGCAAAUUUGUAAACUGUUCCAUAUUUUU